CAGUUAGUUGGUGGGGUAAUGGCCUACCAAGACUGCGAUCGAUAGCUGGUCUGAGAGGAUGAUCAGCCACACUGGGAUUGAGAACGGCCCAGACUCCUACGGGGGGCAGCAGUGAGGAAUUUUCGUCAAUGGGGGCAACCCUGAACGAGCAACGCCGCGUGCAGGAAGAAGGUUUUCGGAUCGUAAACUGCUUUUCUCUGGGACGAGAACGGACGGUACCAGAGGAAUCAGCCUCGGCUAACUACGUGCCAGCAGCCGCGGUAAUACGUAGGAGGCGAGCGUUGUCCGGAGUUACUGGGCGUAAAGCGCACGCAGGCGGUCAGAUCAGUCUGGAGUGACAGUCGUCGGCUUAACCGACAAAGUGUUCUGGAAACUGUCUGACUUGAGGGCUUCAGAGGGACACGGAAUUCCGGGUGGAGUGGUGAAAUGCGUAGAUAUCCGGAGGAACACCAAUGGCGAAGGCAGUGUCCUGGGAAGUACCUGACGCUCAGGUGCGAAAGCUAGGGGAGCGAACAGGAUUAGAUACCCUGGUAGUCCUAGCCGUAAACGAUGACCACUAGACGUUGGGGGUAUCGACCCCUUCAGUGUCGCAGUUAACACGAUAAGUGGUCCGCCUGGGGA
rnacentral:rRNA from 1 species